GGGCUAUUAGCUCAGUUGGAUAGAGUGCUUGCCUCCGGAGCAAGAGGUCGCAAGUUCGAAUCUUGCAUAGCCCACCA
rnacentral:tRNA from 1 species